GCACAAUGCCCUGCAUUAUGGGGACAUUUUAUGCAAAUAGCACUUAGGCUGUGUGAAACUCUGUAUCAGACACUGUAGCCCAGGCAAAUACCUCUUACAGAAAGAUCUUCAUCCCAGUGCAGAGCCACCUCACAUGGCCCUGAGGAUUAAAGGACCAGCCAACCCUUCAUGUCUACUCCCAAAUGAAAAUGACCAGGUUUUGAACAGACCAAGCUCUGAGUGGUGGCCCAGGAGACACUGGAUUAGGAGCAAGGCACCUCAAACAGACACUUCCUUCUCUCUCUGGGCACCGUCAAAACCUCCAGAUAACCUGGCAACUGCAAAUGAAUUUCAAGCAUUUGACAAAGUGGGGUUGAACAUCACUUCACUCUGGUUUGCCGCGGAAGCCUUAAUAUUAAGGAAGCUAGAUAUGCCAGAAAUAUACCCAGAGAAAGCAAGAUACGAGAUCCAUGCAACUAAAGAGAGAAAGAAGCAACGAUCAUUCCCAAAUGUUGGCCAAGAGACAGCAUAAGGCGACAGGUGCGCUGGGCAGGACACAGGCUGGAAGUGCUCAGGGGUUAUCUUGUGCAUUUCCUGCCUGUGCCCCACAGCGCACCCACAAUACAAGCAGUGCCUUCCUUGUAUUCGUUGAUCAGAUAAACCAAGAAGAACCAUCAGGCCUUAAAGACAUGGAGCACAGAAACUGGGAGAGAAGGUCACAUGUUGGUAGAUGCCAGGCUCCACUGUAAUAAGUCCUGCUGGGUACCCCAAGGUGGGCCCUGAGAAGCUCAGGCCAGCAUGAGGUCCUGGACCCUGGAGUUGAUGAUCAGAAAAUUAUCAACUCCUGGAAAAAGCAAACGCCCUCAAGACCAUCUCAGUUACAGUUCUCCUUUUAGCAAUGAGAAAAAUGUAUGCUUUAGAAUCUUGCCUGUCUAGUUCUACAUCCAUUUAACAUAUCUGCUUUUGAUGGACUCCCAGAUAAAUGCAUGAAACGUAAAUA
rnacentral:lncRNA from 10 species